rnacentral:tRNA from 1 species
GGUUUCAUAGUCUAGUGGUUAUGACGUUUCCUUUACACGGAAAAGGUCGGGGGUGUAAGUGCUCAUAUUAAUGUCGCCGCCGCUAUCAAUUACUAAUUCUGCCUCAGUCGAAACCCCCUGAGACCU